rnacentral:rRNA from 1 species
CUGGCUCAGGAUGAACGCUGGCGGCGUGCCUAACACAUGCAAGUCGAACGGAAAUUACAGAAGGAAGUUUUCGGAUGGAAUUUUGUAAUUUUAGUGGCGGACGGGUGAGUAACACGUGGGUA